GACGAACGCUGGCGGCGUGCCUAAUACAUGCAAGUAGAACGCUGAAGGAGGAGCUUGCUUCUCCGGAUGAGUUGCGAACGGGUGAGUAACGCGUAGGUAACCUGCCUGGUAGCGGGGGAUAACUAUUGGAAACGAUAGCUAAUACCGCAUAACAGUAGAUAUUGCAUGAUAUCUGCUUGAAAGGUGCAAUUGCAUCACUACCAGAUGGACCUGCGUUGUAUUAGCUAGUUGGUGAGGUAACGGCUCACCGAGGCGACGAUACAUAGCCGACCUGAGAGGGUGAUCGGCCACACUGGGACUGAGACACGGCCCAGACUCCUACGGGAGGCAGCAGUAGGGAAUCUUCGGCAAUGGACGGAAGUCUGACCGAGCAACGCCGCGUGAGUGAAGAAGGUUUUCGGAUCGUAAAGCUCUGUUGUAAGAGAAGAACGAGUGUGAGAGUGGAAAGUUCACACUGUGACGGUAUCUUACCAGAAAGGGACGGCUAACUACGUG
rnacentral:rRNA from 1 species